AUGAAUUGUUUAAGUUGGAACUGCCGGGGGCUUGGGAACCCCGAGGCAGUUCGAGAGCUUCGCAGUAUUGUGAAGCAAGAAGUUCCUGCCCUGCUGUUCGUUAUGGAGACCAAAAUCAGGGCAAAAAGAGUUGAAGAUCUGCGUUAUCAGUUAGGUUUCGCGGGAUGUUUUGCAGUGGACAGUGAAGGACUAAGCGGUGGCAUAGGCCUCUUC
rnacentral:rRNA from 1 species